UCAUUGCAGGCGACUCUACUCCAGAGCAAGCUCAACCAGAUAUUUGAGAUCACCAUAAGACCCCCUCCGAGCCCUUCGGGAACCAUCACAGCCGCUUACGGGCAGCCCCAGAGCCAUUCUAUCCCGGUGUAUGAGAUGAAGUUCCCAGACCUCUGCGUUUACUGAGAAGCGAGCUGCAUGCCAGGAGGAAGCUGCGCCUGCUGAAUCACCCAAACUCACCCGGCGGGCUUCAUGCCGCCUGCAUGAGCCAGACGGGAGCUUUGGGGGGGGCAGGGGGUGAAUGCCCCGUCAACCAAGCACGAUGGACAGCGCUGGCCCUUACAACCCACACACCCCAGAUGUGCUUUGAUUUCCUCUGUUCUUUGUGGUCGACUAGUUUUUCCAUCCUGUAGAAAUCACAAGAGAGCAUCCAGGAAGGCUGUGACAGACAGCGGGAGGUGGUGGCGGGCAGUGGAGGGAAGUGGUUUCAGACUUCCCUUUUUUUAAGAAGCUGUUUUACAAGUUUUGUCCGUGAAAAGCAUGUGCUGAUAGUCCCUUACAUAAAGUGAAUUUAUUCUUUGUGUUUCUGCUUCA